CAUGCCUUACACAUGCAAGUCGAACGGCAGCACGGGAGCAAUCCUGGUGGCGAGUGGCGAACGGGUGAGUAAUAUAUCGGAACGUGCCCAGUCGUGGGGGAUAACGUAGCGAAAGCUACGCUAAUACCGCAUACGAUCUAAGGAUGAAAGCGGGGGACUCGCAAGAGCCUCGCGCGAUUGGAGCGGCCGAUAUCAGAUUAGGUAGUUGGUGGGGGUAAAGGCUCACCAAGCCAACGAUCUGUAGCUGGUCUGAGAGGACGACCAGCCACACUGGAACUGAGACACGGUCCAGACUCCUACGGGAGGCAGCAGUGGGGAAUUUUGGACAAUGGACGCAAGUCUGAUCCAGCCAUUCCGCGUGCAGGAUGAGGCCCUCGGGUUGUAAACUGCUUUUGUACGGAACGAAAAGGUUUCUAUUAAUACUAGGAGCUCAUGACGGUACCGUAAGAAUAAGCACCGGCUAACUACGUG
rnacentral:rRNA from 1 species